GUCAGCAACACCAGCCUGGAAUCGGUUGUUCAUAGGGCUGCACCUGGAGAAUGUCAGAAAAUGGUUAGCCAACAAGCUCCAGAAACGGGAGCAACACACACAAAAUGCUGGAGGAACUCAGCAGGCCAGGCAGCAUCAAUGGAAAAAAAAUACAGCCAAUGUUUUGGGCUGAAAUCCUUUGGCAAGACUGGAGAAAAAAGGCUGAGGAGUAUAUUUAAAAGGUGGGGAGAAGGGAGAGAAAACCACCAGGUGACGGGUGAAACCUGGAGGGGGAGCAAUGAAGUAAAGAGCUGUGAUGUUGAUUGGUGAAGGGCAGAGGCCAUAGAAGAAAGAAAGGGGGGAAGGUGCACCAGAGGGAGGCAAUGGACGUGCAAGGAGCUAAAGUGAGAGAGGUAAUGGGAUGGGAAAUGGAGAAGGGGGAUCUGGUGUGCAUUGCCAGAAGUUUGAAAAAUCAAUGUUCAUGUCAUCAGGUUGGAGGCUACCCAAACAGAAUAUAAAGUGUUGUUUCUCCAACCUAAGUGUGGCCUUAUCACAACAGUGGAGGAGGCCAUGGAUGGACAAAUGGGAAUGGGAAGUGGAAUUAAAAUGGGUGGCCACUGGGAGAUCCAGCUUAUUCUGGCAGACAGAACAUUGAUGCCCAGCAAAGCGGUUUCCCAAUUUAUGUUGGGUCUCACCGAUGUACAGGAGGCCACACAGGGAGCACCGAGCAUGGUAAAUGACCCCAACAGACCCAGGUGAAAUGUCAGGUCACCUGGAAGGACUCUUCAGAGCCCUGAAUGGUAGUGUCAGAGGAGAUGUAAGGGCAGGUAUAGCACAAGUGCCAGAAGGGAGAUCAGUGGGGAGGACUGAAUGGACAAGGGAGGCAUUUAGGGAGUGACCCCUACGGAAAGCAGAAAGUGGGGCGGUUGGAAGGGAGAAGAUGUGCUUGGUGGGGGGAAUCCUGGCGGAAAAUUAUGUGCUGGACAUGGAAGCUAGUGGGUGGUAAGUGAGGAUAAAAGGAACCCUAUUCCUAGCAGGGUGGUGGGAGGAUGGGGUAAGAGCAGACAUGCAUGAAAUGGAAGAGAUACAGUUGAGAACAGUGUUGAUGGUGGAGGAAGGGAAGCCCUUUUCUUUGAAGGAGAACAUCUCCUUUGUUUUAGAAUGAAAAGCCUCAUCCUGAGAGUAGAUGCAGCAGAGAUGGAGGAAUUGAGAAAAGGGGAUAGUGUUUUUACAAGUAAUAGGGCGGGAUGAGGUGUAGUCUAUGUAGCUGUGAGAGUCCGUGGGUUUGUUGGUGAUGAUGUGGGAGAUAAUGGCCCAGUGUUCCUUAGUGGGGUACCCCAUCCUUCCACCACCCUACCAGGGAAAGGGUUCCUCUUGUCCUCACCUACCACUCCACCAGCUUCUACAUCCAGCAUAUAAUACUCCAAAACUUCCACCUUUUUUUUUACUGUUUUCCAUAGAUACUGCCUGGCCUGCUGAGUUCCUCCAGCAUUUUAUAUGUGUCGCUCAGAUUUACAGCAUCUGCAGAAUUUUUCUUGUAUGUGUCCAGGAAUGGGAACUUAAUUACUGUUUCAAAAAAAAUGCAGUUUGAGUGCCACUUGCAGAUCAGGAUCUUGAUAGAACCCCAACCACCUUGAAAGGGACAUUAAAGAGAAGAACUUAAGCUGCUUCUGCAAGUGAGCUUGGUGCUGUCUUAACUCUGCCCAGAAUAGUUGUUCUGUUGAGAUGAUGGGUAAAUCUAUUUAGUACAAUUACAUUAGAUUGUCAAAGAUAGGAAAGACCCAGUUUUGUUCUUUCUUGAUUUUAAAGCUCCAUUGGUUAAUUUUAUCAAAAGUGCUGAAGGACAAGGUGUUUAUUGGAAAUAAAAAGGAAAGUUUUGUCAGCAUUCUUACCUGCAGGAAGUGUAAAAUUGGGUAACAAAUAAGAAUGGACUGACUUCAAUUUUAAUGGGACCUCCAUCAAUUUAUCCUACUAAUUCACUCUUCAGUUAAAGCAUGAAGCUUUGAAGCUCUCAAAUAAUAUUUAUCUAACCAUGCUAGAGUUACAUAAUUUUUGGUGCAAACAUUGAGGACUGUUCACAAUUUAACUUUCAUGUCCACACAGUGAUAAAUGCCUAUUUUUUUUAAUGCAAUAGAUGGGUGCCACAGUGACAUCCAAAUACUUUUUUAGUUGCAGGCAGGUUGGAGUAAAUUCUUAAGAACUACUGCAAGAGCCUUGCAUUUUUAUAGUGAAAA